UACGUAGGGUGCAAGCGUUGUCCGGAAUUAUUGGGCGUAAAGAGCUCGUAGGCGGUCUGUCACGUCGGCUGUGAAAACCCGAGGCUCAACCUCGGGCCUGCAGUCGAUACGGGCAAACUAGAGUACUGCAGGGGAGACUGGAAUUCCUGGUGUAGCGGUGAAAUGCGCAGAUAUCAGGAGGAACACCGGUGGCGAAGGCGGCGACCUGGGUAGAUACUGACGCUGAGGUGCGAAAGCGUGGGGAGCAAACAGG
rnacentral:rRNA from 1 species